AGGAUGAACGCUGGCGGUCUGCUUAACACAUGCAAGUCGAACGGAGUAGAAAUACUUAGUGGCGGACGGGUGAGUAACGCGUGAGAAUCUACCUUCAGGACGGAGACAACAGUUGGAAACGACUGCUAACCCCCGAUGUACUGAAAAGGCAAAUAUUUAUAGCCUGAAGAAGAGCUCGCGUCCGAUUAGCUAGUUGGAGAGGUAAAAGCUCACCAAGGCGACGAUCGGUAGCUGGUCUGAGAGGACGAUCAGCCACACUGGGACUGAGACACGGCCCAGACUCCUACGGGAGGCAGCAGUGGGAAUUUCGCAAUGGGCGAAAGCCUGACGGAGCAAGACCGCGUGGGGGAAGAAGGCUCUUGGGUUGUAAACCCCCUUUUCUCUGGGAAGAACGCAAUGACGGUACCAGAGGAAUCAGCAUCGGCUAACUCCGUGCCAGCAGCCGC
rnacentral:rRNA from 1 species